rnacentral:lncRNA from 1 species
AAGAAGGGAUUACUAAGGAGUCGCUGCACAGUGUAAAGAAGCACAAGGUCAAGGAGACCAACAAUCCCUGCGAGGAUCUUCACCGAGAGAGAGGACUUGUUUUGAGGUUUGAGGAAGUGGCUGUUUGGCAAAUCUAAAAGUUGGACUUCCCAAUACCAGUUUUCUAUAAGCACCUUGGUUUGACUUUCAUUUUUGGUCCCCUCUCCCUGAGAUUGAAGGCAAAAUCAGAACAGGAAAUAAUACUUCCCUUUUACCUCAGACUCUUGUCCCCUUCUCUUUUAUAGUAUGGCAAUUUUUUGUAGUCCUGGCUACUGAUGCAUAAAUGCAAUAUUGCUACAAUUGUCCUGUUUGCUUAUAGGACAUAAGUCACUUUAAUUGGGCUUUGCUGGUGAUUCAAGGACCUGUUAUGGUCUUAUUUUUAAUCAUAAUUUAAUACACACAGGAUUUUGGUAUAUAUAUGUAUUUUUGUCAAGAAUUUAAUUUUUUUUCUGUUCUAUUUGGUUUUUGGUUCUUUUGAGAAUUCAUUCAUAUACCUCAUAGCUCAGCCUUGUAUAUUGUGAUGAUUCUAGUGUUUGUCAACACUCUUCUAAGGGGGGAUGGUAUAAUUAUCCUAAAAUCCAAGGGUUAAGAUCUUUUAAAGCAAUUCUAGGAAGAGAAAAUUGCCAAUAUCCUAAAUCAAGAAAGUGGAUCUUCUGAAGAACAUACCAUAAGGAUGCCUAUAGGAAUCACACACUACACCAAAAUGAUCCAGAAUGAACUUUGGGUUAUAAGGAACUGAACUGAAGGGAGUUGAACCUAUCAUUUAUUCUGAAUGUAAACUCUUAUGCCAAAGGUGAGUGCCCCCCAAUUGACUUUUUUUUAUUCCUUUGGCUUCCUCUUCUUCCUCAUUUUCAUCUCCCUUUGUAGAUAAUUCCUCCAAUUCCUCCUCCUUGUAAUUUUUCUUUCUUUUCUUUUCAUGAGGAGUUUGUUUCCUCCUGAUCUCAGGAUUGAUAACAUCAAAGAACUCCUCAAUCAGAGCCAGCAGCUUUUCUUGGUUAAGCUUAACUUCUUCCUCUUCUUCCUUGCCCUCAAGUUUUUUGUUGUUUUUUUUUCUUUUAGGUGCAUCUCUCUGUGCUUGGUUUCCAGGAUCUUCUCUCAAUUGAGUUUCCCAUUCAAAGAACUAGGAUGCUCAAAAACAGGAGUAAUUGAAGUGAGGGAAGGAGAGGGAGGUGUGUGGCUUUAUGAUAAGGACUCAUCAUCUAUAUUGGAAUGUCAAGACACAAAUCCAAGAAAAGAAUGGAAAUAUUUCAGAGAAAGGAAGGAAGAGGACAAGUAUAUUUGAUUUUUAUUCAAACCUGACCAUCUUAAGGUGACUAAGAUGGCUCAACUUAGAUUUCAUUAUGAAGUUUAAGGAGAUAUUUUAAUGAAAAAAGACAAACCAAGGAUAUUCUAUUCACGUAGGGAUGGCUAUAUGAGAGACUGAUAAAAUACAAAAGUAUGUGAAUUUGAGACAAGAAGAGAUGAACGGUGUACUCUCGAAGAAAAAGCCAAAGGAGAAGUGAAUAAUCUUGAAGGGAAAGAUGAGAAGUUUAAAUCGGAUUCUAAAAUGAUAAUGCAAUAAGGAAAAUAAAGAAUAGAAAUAUAUUUGUAAAUGAUAGGUA